rnacentral:rRNA from 1 species
UGGGGAAUCUUGCGCAAUGGGCGAAAGCCUGACGCAGCAACGCCGCGUGGAGGAAGAAGGCCUUCGGGUUGUAAACUCCUGUCAGGGGGAAAGAAGGCACCUGGGUGAAUAGCCCAAGGGCUGACGGUACCCCCAGAGGAAGCCACGGCUAACUACGUGCCAGCAGCCGCGGUAAUACGUAGGUGGCGAGCGUUGUCCGGAAUUAUUGGGCGUAAAGAGCGCGUAGGCGGCUUGCCAGGUCCGACGUGAAACCCCGGGGCUCAACUCCGGACGUGCAUCGGAAACCGGCUUGCUAGAGUCUGGGAGAGGGGAGUGGAAUUCCUGGUGUAGCGGUGAAAUGCGCAGAUAUCAGGAGGAAUACCGGUAGCGAAGGCUGCUCCCUGGAACAGUACUGACGCUGAGGCGCGAAAGCUAGGGGAGCGAACAG